rnacentral:rRNA from 1 species
GACGAACGCUGGCGGCGUGCCUAACACAUGCAAGUCGAACGGAGAAUUUUAUUUCGGUAGAAUUCUUAGUGGCGAACGGGUGAGUAACGCGUAGGCAACCUGCCCUUUAGACGGGGACAACAUUCCGAAAGGAGUGCUAAUACCGGAUGUGAUCAUCGUGCCGCAUGGCAGGAUGAAGAAAGAUGGCCUCUACAAGUAAGCUAUCGCUAAAGGAUGGGCCUGCGUCUGAUUAGCUAGUUGGUAGUGUAACGGACUACCAAGGCGAUGAUCAGUAGCCGGUCUGAGAGGAUGAACGGCCACAUUGGGACUGAGACACGGCCCAAACUCCUACGGGAGGCAGCAGUGGGGAAUCUUCCGCAAUGGACGAAAGUCUGACGGAGCAACGCCGCGUGAGUGAUGAAGGAUUUCGGUCUGUAAAGCUCUGUUGUUUAUGACGAACGUGCAGUGUGUGAACAAUGCUUUGCAAUGACGGUAGUAAACGAGGAAGCCACGGCUAACUACGUGCCAGCAGCCGCGGUAAUACGUAGGUGGCGAGCGUUGUCCGGAAUUAUUGGGC